rnacentral:tRNA from 2 species
GGUGGCAUAGCUCAGUUGGUUAGAGCACCGUCUUGAUAAGGCGGGGGUCGAAGGUUCGAUUCCUUCUGCCACUACCA